AUUGAACACUGGCGGCAUGCCUUACACAUGCAAGUCGAACGGUAACGGGCCUUCGGGUGCCGACGAGUGGCGAACGGGUGAGUAAUGCAUCGGAACGUACCUUUCAGUGGGGGAUAACGUAGCGAAAGUUACGCUAAUACCGCAUAUUCUGUGAGCAGGAAAGCAGGGGAUCGCAAGACCUUGCGCUGAUUGAGCGGCCGAUGUCAGAUUAGCUAGUUGGUGAGGUAAAGGCUCACCAAGGCGACGAUCUGUAGCGGGUCUGAGAGGAUGAUCCGCCACACUGGAACUGAGACACGGUCCAGACUCCUACGGGAGGCAGCAGUGGGGAAUUUUGGACAAUGGGCGCAAGCCUGAUCCAGCAAUGCCGCGUGCAGGAAGAAGGCCUUCGGGUUGUAAACUGCUUUUGUACGGUAACGAAACGGUCUGGGUUAAUACCCUGGGCUAA
rnacentral:rRNA from 1 species